rnacentral:other from 1 species
AAGUUUCUGCGGGGUUCGUCACCGGGUAUCCGAUGAUUGAGCCAACGUCGUUCAAAAGGGAGAUCGACGCCGCGCGCUAGUGCUUUUCUUCAUCGUUAAGAAGAGCCGACAGUUAGCGACGAAAAAAAGAUCACCCACCUGUUAACUCAGGUUCAAUUACGACUUCGGAACGGCCCGGCGGUUUUCCC